rnacentral:rRNA from 1 species
CGAACGGGUGAGUAACACGUGAGCAACCUGCCCCGAAGACUGGGAUAACACCGGGAAACCGGUGCUAAUACCGGAUAUCCCCACCAGGCCGCAUGACCAGGUGAGGAAAUGAAUUUCGCUUCGGGAGGGGCUCGCGGGCUAUCAGCUUGUUGGUGGGGUAACGGCCUACCAAGGCGACGACGGCUAGCUGGUCUGAGAGGACGACCAGCCACACUGGGACUGAGACACGGCCCAG